rnacentral:rRNA from 1 species
CCCUUAGAUGUUCGGGGCCGCACGCGCGCUACACUGAAGGACUCAGCGUGUCUCUCCCCCUAUCCCGAAAGGGAUGGGCAACCCGUUGAACCUCCUUCGUGCUGGGGAUUGGGGUUUGCAAUUAUCCCCCAUGAACGAGGAAUUCCCAGUAAGCGCGAGUCAUCAGCUCGCGUUGAUUACGUCCCUGCCCUUUGUACACACCGCCCGUCGCUACUACCGAUUGGAUGGUUUAGUGAGACCCUCGGAUCGGUCCCGACUCGGGGUGGGCUUCUGCCCCGGUCGUGGUUUCGCCGAGAAGACGGUCAAACUUGACUAUCUAGAGGAAGUAAAAGUCGUAACA